rnacentral:misc_RNA from 1 species
ACUCGGAACUUCCUAUGCUUAUCGGGGACUCCUUACCACGGUCGAAAGGAAAAUAAUUUGACACUUGCAUAGUAAUCAAUACAGAAAGUUCAAUGGAGCUUAUCAACAGAGAGAGAAAUAAGUUUUAAUCCGAUCUAUACCACUUGUGUGUGUUAAGUCUAUCAAAAUGGAGGUGGGUAGUUAAGGAGAGAAAAGAGUGAAAAGGACCAAAAUUAUACCAUGCUGAAGAGCCCGGGGCCAAGUCCCCAUGUGAAACAUGGACAGGGAAAGACUGCCUGUACCAUUCUGACUGAGGAUGGGUGUAUAUAUCCAGUGAUUUCUUCUCUGUCCUAUUCCGACAGGACUAAAUCUGCCCCCUACCAGUAUGGGAGAGGGGUUCGUGCUAUGCACAAAUCCACCCUGACCAUCGCCAAACCCUCCUGGUCACCCAAAGACGAUUUCAAAACGACCAAUAAGCAGUACUACAGUGGCAGCAAGAGCCUGAACCCUGUCCGGCGCCCCCCUCUGUGCCCCUCCAUGCACCGAUCUCAGUGGUCCAUUGGUCAGAAUAUGGCGGACACAACAUUUGAUACAGAAUACUCCAAAACCUACUUUGAGAAGGACAUCAUACCCGUGAGUAUAUACUAUUAUUCACAAGACCAAAACCUAUCUAUGAUUUAGACAUCCAUUGCACGGUAGUAGCAGAUUGGGACCUAGGUAAACACAAAUUGAACAGACGCUUUUUGAUAUAGUGAGUACUAGUAUUUAAAAAAAAGAGUUUUGCUUUUGUUUUAAAAGUUUUUUUUUUUAAUCUUAAGCUCGCCGCACGCUUUUAUUUGUUAUAGUUUGACAGAAAAUGGCAAUUUUCUCUAAAGAUCCAACGCAUGCUUUUUAAAUGUUACUGGUUGUCUGACAGAGUAAUGGUAUUUUAGAAAAGUUUAAUUUUCACUGAAUGUUCAUCAUUUACAUGUUGAUCAGUUGCAGAAAGAGCGAUCUCGUAACCGAGACAGAGUAAGUCGCCGGGUGUAGAAAUGCCAGACUUAUGUGUCCAGUAGUUGACCCGCUUAAUAUCUACCCCAUGUUGUGCAGCUUGACCAACAAAAUUAUAGAUUGAUUCGCAUGUAUAGUGCAAUUUUAAUUUUAAAUCAACGGGAGGUAACUCUCAUAACAUCAAUGACUUCUUAAUUUCAGUCAUGUAGAAAUAAAUGCUCAAAUUAUAUAAAUAGUUUGAGGUGACUUGCAUGUUUUCUAAAAUAGUUUACAGUUCUUCAUAUCUAUUAUUGCCUUUAUACAAUAAAAAAUUUAGUGUUGAACAUUUAUUUAUCAACAUAGAGUGCUAUAUAUCAUUUAUGCCUAGUAAUCUCCCUUUUGUGUAGUUUAUAUAUAACCUAUCAAUUAGACAGUGAUUAUAUUUUACACAUAUACCAUAGUACAUGUAAUAUAUUUGAAGUCUUCUACAAAAAAUUGCUUCGUUAUGAAUGAGAAUGCACGUAUGUAAUUAUAAACAUAUAAAUGCAUGUGAAAAAGUUUUUUUGUCUUUAAUACUUAGUAAUAGAAUUGUUUUAACCAGUAUUAUAUAUUCAUUUAUCAACAUGAGAGUAACUAAUAAAAAUCUUUCUUUAAUAAUAUCAAGAUGUAAAAUAGUUAUUUUAAUUUCCUUUUGUCUAAUACAUUGAGAGAGAGAGAGAGAGAGAGAGAGAGAGAAAUUUACAUUCCUGAUGGUAGAUUUUUUUCUAUACUAUAUGCCUAUUAAUACAUGUAGUAUCUAAAACAAUGCCCAAUUUUCACAGGCUAAUCGGCUUCAUCUGACGUCCUUGGUCAAUAGGAUCGACCAGACUGAGGGGAAGGACAUGAAGACUACAGUCCACACUGACCCCUUUGCCCCCAGCUACUGGUCACAAUACAACCGCAUUCACGGUAAACUGGGACAGAUGCGGGGGCCAGGCGUGGAGAGGGAGAGAGUAGUCAGACAAAGCUACAACAUAUUUACAGGAGAGGAGGUAGGUCCAGCGUGGAACAGCGAGAACAAGCGAGUGUCAGGUAACCGUGUAUUAGCGGGCUCUAGGGCCGACAAUAACUGGUAUCUACAGGACUAAGUCCUAGAUAUCUACAGGACAACAGAUAUGUGUAUGACAGAUAUCACCCAAGUAAAGUCGAUAUCUCUACAACUUAUUGAAGAUAUCUAAAGGAUUACAAGACAAUAAGGAUACAACUGAUACUAGAUAUACGUGAAAGAUAGCUGAUGGACUUCUUAAAGAUAUCUCCAGGAUUCAAAUAAGAUAUCUACAGGAUGUGUGAAGAAAGGACUUGUGUGAUGUCAUACUCCUAGUCAUGAUCAUUGUGAUAUUUAAUGUUUGUUCACGGAACACAAGCUGAAUGUAUAUAUUUUAUGUAUACCCCUUUUAUGCUCACAUAUUUUUUCUAAAUUUAUCAGUAUUUAUAUCUGAACUUUCCAUUUUAUUCACACAAUAUUACAUACUGUCAUUUUGUGAAUAAAUAUAUCAAAUACUAGU